UCAGUAUCCUGAGAUCUGAUUGUUUCCUUUAUCAAUCACUGUGUUUUAACAGGAGGUGGGAGGGGAGACACUCAUUGCCCAUCAGCGUCAAUGUGGGAAAUCGCAUCCAUCAAUAAAGGAAGUAUUUGUGCAUGUGGCUCAGGUGACAUGGUUGCAUCUGAAGGAAAGAGCAAGACCGGCCAGGAGAUGAUGCUGCAGGACACGAUUUCAAGAUUUUGAGUAAGAAGACCUGAAUUGGACAGAGGUUCAUGCUGGUGAAAUUGGCAGGGCUUUGAAACCUGUGGAAGCGAAGCGACCGUAAAGGCCCUUGAAGGCAGAUGAGGAUCCUGGAGUGUGAGAAGUUUUCUUGUGACGGGACACCUGUUUUCUGGCUGAUAUCCUGUCUUUCUGUGGGCGAGGAUGCUGAGCACCUGCACAUUGACAAUUACGUACUCAUUAAAUUGAAAGCACGAUCGUUCAGUUUAAACAUCACACAGCUGAUUCCUUUGGUGACUAACAUAUGGCGUGAACUAUAUUCAAUGUAUGUGUUUAUGAUUUCUCCCUUUUAUUUCAAAAUGCUCUUAAGUAUCACAAAGUAUGUUUUUUGGAUCAUUAGCACUGGGAACCCCUCCCGUCCCGAAUCAGUGCCUUGCCGAUGCUCUGAAUACAUCAGAAACCAUAUGAUGUCAUUAAAGGAUGAGCAUGAAGUAUUGUCACUUUAGACCUCUAAGAAUAAUCGUCCAGUUUCUCCACUUCUCACGCUGUUUGCUGUACAAUGUUAGUCCCUUGGCAGGGGGCCUGACAAAUAAGGUGCUGUUAUUGGGCUUCUUCUCAGGGCCGGGGGUUAAUGAUUAGUGCCGUCGGGGGUUAAAGCCCAGAGAUAGGACCAUUCUCCUGUGCCUCAACAGAUGUUGGUGGGCCUUUAAUGUGGUUAUCAGGAUGGAGGGCCUUCUCAGGCCUGCUCUUCCAUUGUGUGCCGGCACAUUCCAGGGCUCAACCACGGCAACAGAGCAUCAUGGGAGCAGAGCCAGGGCUCCCGCUGGGCCACUGUGGUCCCGAGUUGUGACAGCCAGGGCAGCCCCCUCUCCCACACUACAUCCUCUCUCACACACAUUACUGAUCACACACUAUUUUUCACACCUCCUGUUUUCUCGACACACACACUCUUUCACUCUGCCAUCUUGCCCUUUCCCACACCACCUUUUAUGGUCUAAAUUUGGGUAAAAAGGGAAUUUUGGUCUGAAAAUGCUCCUUUUACAGUUCAGUUGAGCUGAUUACCUUUGUGUUCUUUUAGUACAUGUACCUAGGGUCACGCUAUAGUGCCGUCUAGGGAUCAUCAAUUUAAUGGAUUUCAUUGCUCAAAUCUUAUCUAUAUUUGCUAACAGAAGCGACUUGGGUUAUAAAACGAAUGAUAUCAUUGGUCAACAAAUUUGUCACAGUAACCAAUGAGUUAUACUGAACAGAUAAUGUCAUGCCAGAAUUACGUACGAAUCUGUAAUGCAAGGAGACCCUGCAUAUACAGUUUACAGAACAAUACAACAAGAUUUCAAUUUAGUUGUGAUAUAUCCGGGAAAGUGUAUUGACUUAUAGGGACAGUUAAUUAAAAAAAAAAAAUUCUGGCAUCAUAAAUUCAACACAGAAUAGAACUAGAAUA